rnacentral:rRNA from 1 species
UACAGAGGUCUCAAGCGUUGUUCGGAUUCAUUGGGCGUAAAGGGUGCGUAGGCGGUUUGGUAAGUCUUGUGUGAAAUCUCCAGGCUCAACUUGGAGUCUGCACGAGAAACUGCCGGGCUUGAGUGUGGGAGAGGUGAGUGGAAUUCCUGGUGUAGCGGUGAAAUGCGUAGAUAUCAGGAGGAACACCUGUGGCGAAAGCGGUUCACUGGACCACAACUGACGCUGAUGCACGAAAGCUAGGGGAGCAAACAGG